rnacentral:lncRNA from 1 species
UGCAGCUGGACCUUACAAUUGCUCGAUCCUGCUGUCUUGGCUCCAAGAGCCAAGGACGCGGGGGAGAUGUCGUGCGUCCGUUUGGAGACGAAGYGGACAGGCACGGUGGUGGAGGUGACAGAGGUGUCCGCGAAGUGAGAGACUUGCCAGAGUCGGACGCUGCAGACUGAAGCGUUUCUCAUCAGAGGGGUGGCAGGAGCGAACGCAGUAGCGGUGACUGCCAAGAACGCCGCCGCCGUCAUGCGCUCAGCGCCGCAGGGGAUGGCUUUCCUUACUGCUCUUAAAAAACAUCUGCCUUGGGCUGCUAGGAGAACUGGCUUUUGCGGAUCCUGCUCCUUGCCAGAGAUUGUGAAAAUGAACACUUCUUGCAGCRCGUUCUGGGGAGCAGCACUCAACAAUCCCAGCUAGCACGGGAGCGGCGCAAGCCCCAGCCUGC